CAUUGCUAUUGGGAUUCGAUUUAGCCAUGCUAGUCGUACGAGUUCAUACUCGUGGCGAAUAGCUCAGUAACACGUGGCCAAACUACCCUUCGGAGCACAAUACCCUCGGGAAACUGAGGCUAAUAGUGCAUACCACAAUCCACCUGGAAUGAGGAUUGUGCCAAACGCUCCGGCGCCGAAGGAUGUGGCUGCGGCCGAUUAGGUAGACGGUGGGGUAACGGCCCACCGUGCCAAUAAUCGGUACGGGUCAUGAGAGUGAGAACCCGGAGACGGAAUCUGAGACAAGAUUCCGGGCCCUACGGGGCGCAGCAGGCGCGAAACCUUUACACUGCACGCCAGUGCGAUAAGGGAAUCCCAAGUGCGCAGGCAUAGAGCCUGCGCUUUUGUUCACCGUAGGGAGGUGAACGAAUAAGGGCUGGGCAAGACCGGUGCCAGCCGCCGCGGUAAUACCGGCAGCCCGAGUGAUGGCCGAUCUUAUUGGGCCUAAAGCGUCCGUAGCUGGCCGCGCAAGUCUAUCGGAAAAUCCCCCCGCCCAACGGGUGGGCGUCCGGUAGAAACUGCGUGGCUUGGGACCGGAAGGCGCGACGGGUACGUCCGGGGUAGGAGUGAAAUCCCGUAAUCCUGGACGGACCGCCGAUGGCGAAAGCACGU
rnacentral:rRNA from 1 species